UACCAGCUCUCCGAGUGGUAGGGAUGAUUAUUGGGCUUAAAGCGUCCGUAGCCGGCUUAGCAAGUCUCCUGUUAAAUUCAGCGACCUAAUCGUUGAGCCGCGGGAGACACUACUAGGCUAGGAGGCGGGAGAGGCCGACGGUAUUCUCGGGGUAGGGGUGAAAUCCUAUAAUCCCGGGAGGACCUCCAGUGGCGAAGGCUGUCGGCUAGAACGCGCUCGACGGUGAGGGACGAAAGCUGGGGGAGCGAACCGGAUUAGAUACCCGGGUAGUCCCAGCUGUAAACGAUGCGGGCUAGGUGUUGGGGUGGCUACGAGCCACUUCAGUGCCGCAGGGAAGCCAUUAAGCCCGCCGCCUGGGGAGUACGGCCGCAAGGCUGAAACUUAAAGGAAUUGGCGGGGGAGCACCACAAGGCGUGAAGCUUGCGGUUC
rnacentral:rRNA from 1 species